GCGGGGGUUCCCAAGUCAGGUCAAAGGGGCGAGGUUCAGGUCCUCGUGGCGUAGGCCUUCGUGGGUUCGAAUCCCACCCUCCGCA
rnacentral:tRNA from 1 species